AGACCCUCGUGCACUCCUCCUCAGCACGCGUUUGUUCCUUUGCUGCUGCUACCGCCGGCGACUCCGUCCCGUUCACCGCGUACACGGUCCAUAGGAGAGGAGGCCCCCCGAAACCCCGCCUCUCCGGAUCCUGUACGGGAGAGGGACGAUUAGGUUUUUAGAGAGCGAUCACACGACUACUCACCUUCGUCUGUCUGCUUUGUAUACGGCCGAAGCCGAAAAGAAGACGACAGAGGAUGCUGCCGCCGCCACCGCAGCUACCACAGCCAAGUGGCCGAUCGGAGGGUAUAACCCGUUUAUCCCGCUCCUGUUUAUUUUAGCCCCAGUAGUGCUAGCUAUAGGCCAUAUUAGUAAUUAUUUCAUGGAUUAAUCUACUCGGAAAAUUGCCUGUUUACUCAACACAUGCUGCUCAAAGUAGUACCAUUACCAUACCAUGCAGAUUUAUCAUAAAUUGACACAUCCAUGUCUCACUCGUCAAUAAGGUCUAUCUAGAAAGCGGACUCUCAA
rnacentral:lncRNA from 1 species